AUACGAGUGGGGCUAGCGUUAUUCGGAUUUACUGGGUGUAAAGGGCGUGUAGGUGGCUUGGUAUGUUAGGUGUGAAAUCCCUCGGCUUACCCGAGGAACUGCAUCUAAAACUACUAGGCUUGAGUAUCGGAGAGGAAAGUGGAAUUCCUGGUGUAGCGGUGAAAUGCGUAGAUAUCAGGAGGAACGCCGGUGGCGAAAGCGACUUUCUGGACGAAUACUGACACUAACAGCGCGAAAGCUAGGGGAGCGAACGGGAUUAGAAACCCCAGUAGUCC
rnacentral:rRNA from 1 species